GAUGAAUUCUUUGGGUGGCAGUACAGGUCUAAAGUGCAAGGUUCAGUAUCUGCUCAAGGAGGAAUAAGAGGAGUCAUUACAAAGGGGAAGGAGAAAAUUGAUCCUCAUAGCAUGAAGAAUCAAGAACUGACACAGGACUUGGGUAUUCAAAGAAGUAGGUAGAGUUGUACCUUCUGGUUCAAGACUAAGGUUGCAAUCUGGGAAGCCCUGCUUGAUGGGAUGCGAUGCUGCAGAACAGAUGACUGUAAUGCAAAGCUCCUACU